CCGCCAGGAGGCGACGCAGCGUGAGGCCAGCGGCGGCCGCCAGAGGCGGGGACCCCAGGCGGGCUCCCCAGGACGACCUUACCUGGGCCUGACCGCCACCCCACCGCGAGGGCGGGGAGUCCGGAAUCUCGGGCCUGAGCAAGUGAAAGUCCCAGAUGGCUCCGGGUCGAAUCUUCACUCCUAAGUACCUGCACCUCCUUUCUGAAUCCUCGUUCUCCGUUUUGCCUUCUUCCUUCCCAAUCCUAAAUCUGGACCGAUCAGAGGAGAUAAUCUUGGAAGGAAAGUCGUUUCUUCAUAAAUAGCACCUUUCUGCGCGUCUGGGGCGAGUCACUAGAGUCAGAUUAUUCAUGGCUUGCAACUAUUCUUCUGCUUUGUUUGAGGAACUCUAGGAAUCUGUCCCAAAAGUUCCAGGACUUGCUAAGUGGCCAUCCGGGAGCCCACGAGUGGCACCAGCUUCCUUGACAAGAAAUGACCCUCUUCGAAAACUAAAAAAAAGAAGGAAAAAAAUCUCCUGCUGUGAACUAAGAGCUUUGCCCCACCACACCUUUCUGCUAUGAUGUUCCCGCCUUGGAGCCUGUGGAUCAUGGACUGAGACCUUUGAAAUGCCCUGGAAAUCACAGAUCUGUUUUUUGCAACCAUAGAUUUAUUUGCCUCUAUGAGAAUUUCAUGUAAGUGGAAACAUACAUUUAAUAUCUGGAUUCUUUCACUGAGUACAAUGAUUUCGAGAUUCAUCCAUGCAUCAUAACUUUGUUUCCUUUCAUUGCUGACUGCUCUUCCUCAUUGUAUGGCUAGACCACAGUUUAUUUACUUAUUUACCAGUUGAUAACUAGUUCUUUCUAGUUCUUAGUUAUUCUAAAUAAUACUUUAAUUAAUAUCCUAAAUUCAUCUUUGAGCGGGCAUGUACUUUUAUUUCUCUGUAGUAUAUACUUAGGAAUGGACUUCAUGGGUUUCUGUACAUUUCUAUAGUAUUAAAAAUAAAAACAUAGGCCGGG
rnacentral:lncRNA from 1 species